UCUAGACUGCAUGAUCAUAUUUUUUAAUUAACAGCUCGAGCUCGAUCACUACUUUUAACUGGAAUCUGGAUGCACCUACCCUCUUCGACCGCACAGUACAUAAAUUCCUACAGUGCUGGCGGUAGCAUCUGUAAAGGCUCUGGGCAUGGAGGUGGUGGAUGAGAAGGCUCUCUAACUAGCUAUAAUUUGUUCAAGUUCUUUGGUGGCCAUACAUUGGAUGCUC
rnacentral:lncRNA from 1 species